AAGCAGCCCGGCCUGAGUGGAGCUCUUUUUCUUUUUACAGAAAAAGAAAAAAGCGGGAAGGGAGGACGGAUAAAGC
rnacentral:sRNA from 1 species